AAAGUCUCUUUAAACCUUACAAAGCUUGGAAUCAAAAUCUUAGUUUUUUGGAUGAAUUUAAAGAGAAAGUGAAAGAAAUGUGAUUUGUGUGCAUAAGUAAUGAGACAUGAAGAGUAAAAUUUGAAACGUUGGUGUAUUAAAAGCUUCAAAUUGGUUGUUCAUGAUGGUAGUGUAUUGAUGACAAUUGCAAUAUUAUAAAUACUUGAUGAAGAUGAAGAUGAAGAUGAUAAGGUAAAAGAUUCAUUUUCGAAAUCGAAAAAGUAAUAACAUUUUUGUGAAUAACUCGAACUUCUAGAGUGAAUAUGGAAAAAUAAAGUUUCAAAAAGGCAUGAAUAUCUUUGUGUUUAAUUUGAAAUUUUAGAUCAUACUUCCAAAAAAAACCUUUUACCCCCAAAACAAACUAGCAAAAGUCGAGCUCAAGAAUUAGAAACUUUGGGAACUACCGUAAUUUGAAAAUUUCUUAAUCAUUUUUGUAACUAUCUGUAGUAUUUAUUUAGUUACUUCUCCAACAUGAGAGUACUUUUUAACUUUCUUUUCAAGCUCUUUAAACAGAUUCUAAUAACAGGACUUUUUGUUUUUAAAUAUAUAUCUUGUUUAAAGCUGGGGCAAUUCAAAAUAUAUCAUAAGCCCAUAAGAUAACAAUAUAAAAAAAUAGCUAGUUAUAUACAGUUUUUAUAUUCAUAAAUUAUGAAUUAUUAUAUAUUUCUUAUAUAAAAUUUAUAACCAUACUUAUUAGAUUCGAUUGUUUAUUUUUCAAAAUAAAAUUUAUCUCUAGUUUGUCCUUUUCUGUUUCAACAUUUUAUUGCUAUUUAACUUAUAAAAUCUAUCUUAUGACAACAUAAACAUUAUAUAGAAAUUAGACUUUGGUUGAAAUAUGAUUUACAAUUUAUACCAUUAAUCUUUAUAUUUUUAUAUUUUUCUUAAAGUAAAUCAUAUCGAGUUUAAUUAAUUAAUUCAUAAAACUAGUUAAAUUCUAAUAAAUGCUUAGUUAUAAUAUAUAUAUAAGUAUAUAUGUAUAUUGUCGUUAAAUAUGAUUUUUUUGGAUGAUGUAAUUAUGUGGUCAGCCUUUAUUUGUGAAGAGCGUUAUUUGGUGUUUUAUUGUGUUAUGUAGUAAUACGUUAAUAUAUUAUGUGUUUAUUUUUUCAAUAAUGUGUUGUUGUGUGUAUAAUAGUACUUGUUAGUGAUGAAUUGAGCUUCUGAUGUAAAACAUAUUGAAUUUCAAUAACUUUGCGUUUAGACAUUUGUUGAUUCUAAGAUUGAUGGUUUCAGCGUAAAAAUUGUAUUUUAAUAUCUCACAUUUUUGAACAUUACUCUUUUAAGAUGUUUUUUUUCCUCUCCCAAUAUUUUGACAUUGAGUCAUCACUAUCUAUUUAUUUCGUUUACCUUUCCGAUAUGCGGUGCUUCUCACCUACACUGCGAAAAGACUCACCUCCGUGCUCUUGUUUUUCUUCACCUUCUUCUCUUGUGAGAUUGUCUUGUAUUUGUUAUAGAUCAAGUUUAUGAGUUCUAUGUUGUGUGGUUGUUUCUCACGGCGUUGUAGGCUGUUUCGGUCAAUAUUGGCCCUCUUCUUCCUUAUAUUUUGGCUGAUGUUAGGAACUACAUCUCGUUGGGUUGAGUCAGAGUUUAGUUGUCUUUCAUCUUGUUUUCCUCGUCGUUGGUUUGUCGUCGAUAGUCUCUGCUCGUCUUGGUUUUCAAGUUCUGGAUUUUGGUGAUUUGACUUCUAUGCUCUUUUUCAUAGCUCAAGGAUGGUUCUAUGGCUUGCUGAUUUCGUUUCGUCUUCUUUUCUCUCUUUGUUCUCUCAUCUCGUUGCACCUUACAUCGUUGCUUACGUCUCUGGUGGCUCUCCCUUUCGCCAUAUUUUCUACUCCAGAUUUGGAUAGUGUUUUCCUCUGUGUAUGCUUUCUGGGGUUUGGAAUGUUGUUUUUGGUCUCAAGUUUAAGCUCUGGUUUUUCUGUGGCUGACUUCCAUUCUCCUUCCCUCAGGUUUUCUCUCUUCUUCUCUUGUGUCAUUUGGUGUAGGUGUGCAGAGUUAGUCGUUUGGAGCUUUGGUCCCUUAUAUUCAGAGCUUUGUGGUUCUUCCCUGGCAUGGGUGCCUUGUAUGUGCCUGUUUAGUUAGUGUGGUGCUUCUUACCUCUUAGUUAGUGGUUGUGCUUUUGGUUCUUUAGGCAUGUGUCUUCUUGUUUCGUGGUGACGUUGUUCUUCCGAUGAUUAUUCUAUCUCUGAUCCGUUUUUUGGCUUUUUGCGUUGGUACUUGAUCGCGCUCCUUUGUGUUCGGGGGAUUGUUUUGUCUCAGAUUUAUCUUUGUACAUUUUCUGACAUAUGCUUGUUCUACCCAAGAUAUUCUAUGGUAAGAUGAGGUAAAUUAGUCUUCUUAGUUGAUCUCAUUUCAGCUCAAAACCUUUAUUGAGUUAGUAUUAUUAUGGUAUUUUGCUUUUUCUCCGUGAUUGUGAUUUUUAAUAGUAAAAUAAAUAUAUAAUUUGUAAAUUAAAUAAUAAAAAAUGGUAAAUUUUUUUAAAAAAAUAACACAAUUUAUUUUAUUUUAGUUGUAAAUAAAUUAAAUAUUUAAAAUAUAAUUAUUUAUUCUUCUUGAAUUUUAAUUAGUGACCAAUAAAAUAGUUUAUCAAACUUCACACAAUAAUGGUUAGUGCGAAAAUGAUUAGAAAGUGUGGUCAAAUUACAAUAAUCUAAAAGAAGAAGAAUCUAAAAUAUAAAAAGAAAAAAUAUAUGAGAGACACGUAUCAUCAAACCCCCUUGUCAGUUGUUAUAAGAUGAAAAAAAAAACAACUUUUAUAUAUGUAUAGAUAUAUACCAAAAGUUAAAUUGUAAACACAUUUUAAAUUAUUAUCCAUAUCCCAACAUAUCUAAUUGUAGGAUAUGUAUAUAUUAAAUAACAUUAAGUUGGAAUAUAUGUAUAACAACUAAUUAAUGAAUAGGAGAAAAUUUGAAAAAUGUUAAUUUUUUCCAUUUAGAAAAAUACUACAAAGAAAGAAAUAAUGUCAACUAGAAACCAAAAAAAUUUGAAUGUGCAAAUCCGACAAUCAGAAGUAGAUUCAUGAAGAAUUAAUUCUCAUGGAUAUGCAUAAUAAUUCCAAUAGCAAUAAGAAACAUAUUUCAAGUAAUUGAAUCAAAAUCUCAUAUUGAGAUUCUGCAUUAACAUCAGCUCUUUUUUUUACUCAAAGCAAUUUUUUUACUCAAAACAAUGUUUAAUUUAAUUUUAAAAAAAAGCAUUAUGUAGCUUUAAAAUUUGAGUGACAUCAUUGUGACAGUAUUAUGAUAACUACUACGUAGAUCAUAUGUUAAGAAAAUGAUUACUAACUGUAAGAAUAAUACAACAUCAUAUGAUCACACAACUGAAAAAACAAAUAAUGUAUUAAAAACAACAUGAAAUAUAUAAAUCACAUGAAAAUAUCCAUGAACUAUUUUGUGUUAUGAUCAUAACACCAUCAACAUUAUUUUGAUAGCUACAAAAGUGCUAACUUGUAAUUCGACAAUUUUUUAUUUUGGUUAACAUUUUUUUAACAUAUUUUAAUAGUUAUCCCAUGUUCUUUGAUGUAGCCUUGCAUUUUGAAUACUUGAUCUAUUUGUGUUCAUUUGUAUGAUCCAGUUAUAAAAUAAUUUUUUAUUCAGUGAUACCAAAUUUCAAAUCUGAUAUAUUUUCCGAUAUUAAAAUUAUACUUAUGGUGUUAAUAACAUAACACAUAUUAGUUUAUGGAUGUUGUCAUGUUAUUCAUAUAAUUCAUUUAGUUUUUAAUACAUUAGUUUUGUCCAAAUGUAUGAUCAUGUGGUGAUGUAUUUUUUGUGUUGCUGACAAUAGUUUUCGUAUAGAAACUGUAUAUAAGUCAUAUAAUCAUCCCUGUAUUAUGCUAAUCGAGUAAUAUAUUAUACAUUAUUUGGUUCUCGCUAUAAUUAGGUAAAUGAUGUUGGUGAAAAAUGGUAAAUUUAUUUGUGUGGGUUGACCAAAAUAGUUUUCGUACUUUUUCCAAUGUGUGCUAUUUUAUUAAAUAAUAUGACAUUUGUAUAACAAAAAAUAUGUGAUACCGAAUAAAUCAUCAGUUGUUAAGAAAUAACUAAAUGUAUUCGUAAAUGUAUCUUCAAAUACAAUAGAAAAAUGACAUUGACAAAAUAACUUAGAAUUAUUUAAAUAAAACUUGCAUAAACUGAAACUAAUUAAUGAAAGAUAUGUAAAAUAGCAUGUUGUCAAAACUCUUGUAUAAUUUACAUGAUAUCUUAAAGAAUAUGAUCAUAUGAAUAUAAUCUAACAAUUAUCGCUUGAGGCUAUUUAAUUAACUAAGAAUAAUAAAUAUUAUUUACUUAACAAAAAAGGUUUUCAAUAAAGAAAAUCCUCUAAUAAUUAUAGUUUGGCUUGACCAAAGUAGUUUUCGUACUUUUGCCAACGCGUGCUAUUUUAGUAAAUAAUCUGACAUCUGUUUAACAAAAAAUAUGUGAUACCGAUUAAAUCAUCAGUUGUUAAGAAAUGACUAAAUAUAUCGGUAAACGUAUUUUCAAAUAUAAAAAAAACAUGAUAUUGACAAAAUAACUUAGCAUUAUUUAAAUAAAAUUCGCUUAAACUGUAACUAAUUAUCAUGAAAAAUAUACAUGUAAAAUAGCAUGUUGUCAAAACUCUUUGUAAUUUAAAUGAUAACUUAAAGGAUAUGAUCAUAUGAAUAUAAUCUAACAAUUAUUACUUGAGACUAUUUAAUUAACUAAAAAUAAUAAAUAUCAUUUACUUAACUAAAGAGGUUUUCUAUAAAGAAAAUCCUCUAAUAGUUAUAGUUUGUAGUUGGAUAUUUGCAAAAAAAAAAAAAAAAUCUCAAAAUAAAUAGUAAAGGUAAUAAUUGGAUAUGCCAUAUAUUUUAUUAUAUAACAAAUUGAAAAUAAUAUAUAUUAUUUAAUUAACUAAAGAGAUUUUCAAUAAAGAAAAGCGUCUAAUCAUUAUAGUUUGUAGUUGGAUAUUUGCAAAAAAAAAUCUCAAAAUAAAUUGUAAAGGUAAUAAUUGGAUAUACCAUAUAUUUGAUUAUAUAAUAAAUUGAAAAUAAUAAAUAUUAUUUACUUAACUAAAGAGAUUUUCUAUAAAAAAUCCUCUAACAGUUAUAAUUUGUAGUUGGAUAUUUGCAUAAUAAAUCUCAAAAUAAAUAGUAAAGUUCAUAAGUGGAUAUACCAUAUAUUCAAUUAUAUAAUAGAUUGAAAAAUAUAAUAUAAAUAAAAGUUAAUCUAACUUUCUUCAGAACUUAUAUAUAGGAUAGGAACAUAGAAGGGUUGUGAGUACUACUCAGCUUGGGGGGAAAGGAAGAGGGCAAAACAAAACAAAAACAAGAAGAUGGUUUCAUUUGGCAAAUUUUUCUUCCUUAUGCUUUUAUGCCUUAAUCUUCUUAUGUCCCCAAAACCUGGGGAAGCAAAGAUUGGUAUAGAACCUAUAGGUCUUUGCUCGAAGAUUCCCAACUGCAAUCAGAAGUGUAAGGAAUUAAAAAAGACAACUAUUGGUGGACUAUGUUAUAGGAGAUCUCCAAGGGACACCGAGGACACAUGUGGUUGCUUUAUAAUAAUCUCAUAUAUCGCUUCUUAAAGAUAUUGAUAGUGAUGUAAUAAAAGACAACGAGUAUCAAAAUAUUUUAACUGAAAGUGACAAAAUUAAGUAUUAUAUGAUGCAAA